GAAAUGCGAUAAGUAAUGUGAAUUGCAGAAUUCAGUGAAUCAUCGAAUCUUUGAACGCACAUUGCGCCCCCUGGUAUUCCGGGGGGCAUGCCUGUUCGAGCGUCAUUUCACCACUCAAGCCUCGCUUGGUAUUGGGCGACGCGGUCCGCCGCGCGCCUCAAAUCGACCGGCUGGGUCUUCUGUCCCCUCAGCGUUGUGGAAACUAUUCGCUAAAGGGUGCUCUGGAGGCUACGCCGUAAAACAACCCCAUUUCUAAGGUUGACCUCGGAUCAGGUAGGGAUACCCGCUGAACUUAAGC
rnacentral:misc_RNA from 1 species